AGGAUACGGUUAACGGAGCGAAAGCGACGUUCAACCUCAAAAGAAGCAGAGGGGGCUUAGUGGUGGGGUGACUGCGUACCUUUUGUAUAAUGGGUCAGCGACUUAUAUUCUGUAGCAAGGUUAACCGCAUAGGGGAGCCGGAGGGAAACCGAGUCUUAAUUGGGCGUUAAGUUGCAGGGUAUAGACCCGAAACCCGGUGAUCUAGCCAUGGGCAGGUUGAAGGUUGGGUAACACUAACUGGAGGACCGCACCGAC
rnacentral:rRNA from 1 species